AGUGAACGCUGGCGGUAGGCCUAACACAUGCAAGUCGAACGGCAGCACAGUAAGAGCUUGCUCUUACGGGUGGCGAGUGGCGGACGGGUGAGGAAUACAUCGGAAUCUACUUUUUCGUGGGGGAUAACGUAGGGAAACUUACGCUAAUACCGCAUACGACCUACGGGUGAAAGCAGGGGAUCUUCGGACCUUGCGCGAUUGAAUGAGCCGAUGUCGGAUUAGCUAGUUGGCGGGGUAAGGGCCCACCAAGGCGACGAUCCGUAGCUGGUCUGAGAGGAUGAUCAGCCACACUGGAACUGAGACACGGUCCAGACGACUAAGGGAGGCAGCAGUGGGGAAUAUUGGACAAUGGGCGCAAGCCUGAUCCAGCCAUACCGCGUGGGUGAAGAAGGCCUUCGGGUUGUAAAGCCCUUUUGUUGGGAAAGAAAAGCAGCAGGUUAAUACCCCGCUGUUCUGACGGUACCCAAAGAAUAAGCACCGGCUAACUUCGUG
rnacentral:rRNA from 1 species